rnacentral:lncRNA from 1 species
UAAUGUAUUGAAAAAAGGCACUUCAUUGUGCCUUUUCUUGAGUUGUUGUUUCAAGAUUUGAAAUGUUUGUUUGGUCAUAGUGUAAGUUCUAUUCUACUUGUAAUAAAGGACAAGCUUGUGUCUUGUUGAAUGCUGGCUUUUGUGAUGAGAAGUAAUUACUUUUUUCAUGAGCAUCAUCUAACACAAUACUUUCUCUCUACUUUUUUACUUGUUCAAUUUUGACUUUUUAUUGGUACCUUUUUACUUAUUAUUUUUGACAAAUAAUUUUUUUACCUAUUAUAAACUCAAUUUAUUUUGAGAGUUAAUGUUUUUGAAAAAGUUUGGAUCUCUUUAACAAGUAAAUUGAUAUUGGAAUUCUAUCAAUUAAUAGGGGUAGAAUGGUAAAUUUCCUAUGCCAUUAAUUAUUUUCUUAAUAGUUGUGCCUUGUAAAAAAUGGACAAGUAAAUAGGAAGUAGAUGUAGUACGAAGGCUACAAUUACAUGUUACAAUCAAAACAUAAUAUAGAAUCUCUGAUGUGAAGAAAAAGUACUGUGACGUGUGAAGAGUGUAGAGUAUAGUGUAGAGUACUAAUAUAGUGUCUAGUUAUGUUAAAUUAUUAAUUUUUAAUAUUUAAUAUUUAUGAAGAGUAUAGUAGUAAAUUACUACCGUCUUAAUGGGUUAUCGGUUUACCCAAUAACCCAAUACUAAAAACCGAUAUCAAACCGAAAAUCCAAUAAUUUUUUUAUAAAACCAUUAAAAAUCCGUUAACCCAAUAACAAUUUUUCAGUUCGAUUUUUGCACACCACUAAUUGAUGACUAAUAAAAGCCCACUUCUUUGUUAAAAGAGUCCACUUUGUGAGUCUACAUUCUACAAUUCUGAGAUUGAUAAUUCGAUUCAAGUUGUUGAGGGAAAUGUAGCAUAAAUACUUGAUUUUUUUUUUAUAAAUUUAUUCACUUCGGACACAACUUAUGACGUACGUGAUUGAAAUAAUAAAAUUUGCGUAUCAAUUUACAAAUUUUGGCUGGUGUUGGAAAGUCACAAUAUACGACUGAAGUGCAAUCAAUUUUUAUUCAUGUACUUAAGGCAUGUAUGUCAUAAGGAUAAAUAUUGGUUAAUUGAUUUAUUUACAGAUGUUUUAUAAAUAAGUUGUUGUGAAGUUUGGGGCAUUGGACCUUUUGUACGCGAUAUUUAUGCGAAUAACUUAUAUAUAUUGACAGUGUAAAGAAAUUAUCGUAUUCUAUAGUCAAGAAAUGCAAUCUCUUGUCUUAUUUUAUGAUCAUAAGCUAAAAAAAAAACAAAGAACAAGAGAAUGUCUCUGAUUUAUUAAUGUCCUCAACAAAAUAAAAAUAAAAAGAUGUUAAAGUUUCUUCACAUAAUUGGACGAGAACAUUAAUUAUUAAUUAAAUAAAGGGAAGUCACACAUUUAGCCGUUCGAUCAGAAAUAUUUAGUUGUUACAUGAGUAUAACAUGUUAUGUAUCACCUUAAUUAUGUGGUAUAAAAUUACAUAGAUUGCUCAGGAAAAUGAGUUGAUAUUUAAUUUAUGUCCCUUAACAACUGAACUUAUGCCUAGUAAAACAAAAAUUCUUUACAAAUUGCGACAUGUAAGACAACUUGAGGAUAUUAAAUACACAAAUAUAUACUUAUGUUCCAUGGAUUUUUUUUAAAAAUUACGAAGACAUAAGUUGAAGACCAACACAAAUAAAGUCAUAAGUGAACUUUUGGGCCAACAUGUUUGGAGUACAAAGGAAGAGGGACUUGAUGACUAAUAAAAGCCCACUUCAUUUAGAGAAGAGGAUAGUCUCCGGCCCAUCAUAAAGAUUUCAAUUUUGAACAGAAAAUUGAAUAAAUGACAUAUUUAAUAUAUCUUAUUAUCAGUUUGUGAGUCCACAUUUCACAAUUUCGAGAUUGAUAGUUCGAUUCAAGUUAUUGAGGGGAAAGUGUAAAUACUAGAUUUUAAAUAAAUUUAUUCACUUCGAACACAAUUUAUGAUAUAUGUGAUUGAAAUAAUAAAUUUGCAUAUGAAAUUACAGAUUUUUUCUCGAGUUAGAAAGUCAUGAUAUAUAACUGAAGUGCAAUCAAUUAUGUGCAUGCACUUAAGACGUGUUUGUCAUAAGUGUAAAUGUUGAUUAAUUGAUUAUUUCUUUUGGCCAUAAGCAAAAAAUUGUUUUGUUUUUCAAAAUUCAACAAUUUAACACACGAUUUAAUGCAUAAAUGUACUUCAAAUGAUUUAAAUUUGAAAUAUACGUUCCAAAAUGAUAAAGAACAAACCUUAAUUAUAGAUUUUUCAAAACAAUAACAAAACUUGCAAGGUCAUUUCACAAUAAUACCAAUUUAUACUUAAAACGCACAUGGCUGAAGUGCAUUUAAUUUUCUGCAUGUAUUUAAGACGUGUGUGUCUGAAUGGUUGGUGCUCAGUUGAUUUAUUUUGAGGAACUUUCACAUAUAGCCACUCAAAAAUAGCCUAAUUACUCUCCAAACUAUAGUUUGAUAAUUACAUUCGUAGCUACAUGUUAUAGGGAGGAGAGAGGCGAGCUAGUCUUGGAGAGAGAGGAGAGAGGCGAGCGAGAGAGGGCAAAGAGUGGGAGAGAGGUGAAUUGUAUAUGUAUAUCGGUUAGAUAACUGUAUAUUAUACAUAUGUAUUUGUAUAUAUGGCAAGCAAGGUUGGGAUAGGGAGGAGAGAGGCAAGCGAGAUUGGGAGAGGGAGGAGAGAGGCAAGCGAGAGAGGNNNNNNNNNNNNNNNNNNNNNNNNNNNNNNNNNNNNNNNNNNNNNNNNNNNNNNNNNNNNNNNNNNNNNNNNNNNNNNNNNNNNNNNNNNNNNNNNNNNNNNNNNNNNNNNNNNNNNNNNNNNNNNNNNNNNNNNNNNNNNNNNNNNNNNNNNNNNNNNNNNNNNNNNNNNNNNNNNNNNNNNNNNNNNNNNNNNNNNNNNNNNNNNNNNNNNNNNNNNNNNNNNNNNNNNNNNGGGAGAGAGGUGAAUUGUAUAUGUAUAUCGGUUAGAUAACUGUAUAUUAUACAUAUGUAUUUGUAUAUUCUGGUGAAUUAUACAUAUACAAACGUGACUAAUUAUACAAACUCGAAGUCAGCCCACGUAAUUAAUGUAUAAUGUUAGUCGCGAGUGGUAAUUAUAGCAAACUAUAGCUAUGAUGAGUAAUAAGUAGUAUAAGUUUGCUUAACCGCGUAAUUUUCCCAUUUAUUUCCCCCCCAAAAGAUAGAAAUUAAUUUAUUGUUCAAAUUUCAAUAAUCCAUCACAUAUUCAAGCGUAAAUAUACUUCAAAUGAGCUUAAAUUUGAAACAUAACUUUUAAAUUUAACAACAAUCACAAAUCGUAAUUAUCAAUUUAUCAAAAUAGCAAUCACAAAUGGUAAGUAUCAAUUUAUCAAAAUAACAACAAACAUAACAAACCUAUUUGACAACAAUGGUAAUUUACCAACGUUUUUAAGUUUUUCCAAUAACACCCUCUUAAUUUAAAACUUACUUUUCAUAUUCGAAAUUCAAGGUUAUAUUUUAAAAAAGCAUUAUAUAUUUUAAUAGCUAUGAAUUUUCAAAUACUAAUGUUUCUCAUGCAUGAAUCAAUUAAAAAAAAUUCAAUCAUACAACUUGGAGUAUUUUAUGGGAAGAUUCACAAAUCCCAAAGUGAAAAAUCCCCAAAAGUACAACAUAAUAGAUAAGCCGUGAUGUAUAAAAUCCAAAAUACUUAUCAAUCAUCUUUAAUCUUUCCUCUCUCUCUCUCUUUCAAAUUUAAUUUAUAUUUGACUAAAAACUUUGACAGUGUGAAUAUCAUAUAAUUAUAAUAUAAAAUAAAAACAAAUAAAAAGUCUAGAUUGACAGUAUUGUUUUGGAAUAUAUUUCAAACCCCAAACAUUUUUUCCGUUUUAAUUAAAACCUGGCGAAAGGGACUUUGAUAUUUUUUUUCUAGUAAUAAAACAAGAUACACAUAUUGGCUAUUGCACCAUUAAUCCAGACAACGUCCACCACAUACUACAGUCUACAUUAUUGUACCUUUGUACAUCCCAAAGAUAUUUAAACGUGUGAUCUUAAGUAACUUGUGAAUUCUUGUAUUAUUAUAUCAUGUGACGAAAGCAAUGACGUAUAGGCUAUAAACCAAUGGAUCACCUGACUACCAAAAAAUGGAAAAAAUUUAGGCACCUACACCACUAUAUAUACUUCGUCAAUGUACAAUAAACAAAUCAAUACUUAGGCAAUUUCGAGAAUUUUUUUUUCUUAACUUGUUAAUUCAUACAAAAAAAAAAUGGCUAAUGAUGAGGUGAUUCUGUUGGAUUUUUGGCCUAGCAUGUUUGGUAUGAGGCUAAGGAUUGCACUUGCUGAAAAAGAGGUUAAAUAUGAGUACAAAGAAGAAGAUUUGAGGAACAAAAGUCCUCUGCUUUUGCAAAUGAAUCCUAUCCACAAGAAAAUCCCUGUUUUGAUUCAUAAUGGAAAACCAAUCUGUGAGUCACUUAUUGGAGUUGAGUACAUUGACGAAGUUUGGAAGGAUAAAUCCCCUUUGCUCCCUUCUGACCCUUAUGUGAGGGCACAAGCUAGGUUCUGGGGUGACUACAUUGAUAAGAAGGUAAAUUCAUAGCCCUUUCCCCUUUUCAUUUAAGUAUUUAUAUGGAAUAGAUUAAUUGUUUACUUAUAUGGACACAAAUAAUUGAUCUCUUCUUGUGAGCUAACUUUUGAAGUUGUUUGAGUUAGACAUGUGUGUUAUAUCUUUACGUGAUAUUAGAGUCAGAUUCAUUGUUGUUUGUGCUUUUAAUUUAAACUCAUGUUGAACCCAAAAAUGAAGGGACGUAAAAGUGAGUUAGAGUCACACAUCAGUUGGAGAAUGAGCUGGCGGUCUACUUAGAUGAAUUUAGGCAAUUCUCUCCUUAUGAGUUAGUUUUUGAGGUUGAGUUAGGUUCAUAUAUCAUAUAUUUAUAUGAUAUUAUAGUCUGAUCUAAUCCCUAUUUGCACUUUUUUCCCAAGCUCCAUUUGGGCCUUGACGUGAAGAGGGUGUUAGAUCCCCACAUUGUCUCGUUAUAUAGUUUUAAUUAAUCAUCACUUCACAAGCUAGAUCCCCCCCCUCCCCCCUUUCCACGCUCUAGAUGCUAAGUCAAAGGCCCGGGGGCUGGGGGUCUUAGAGUUUCACAUUAGUUGAAGAAAUAGAAUAUUGUCUGUGUUUGUUGAAAUAUAAGUGUUAACCGUUUUGUUUUUCUGUGUUUGUUGAAAUUUCAGCUGUAUGAUACAGCGAGGAAGAUUUAUUCAGCAACGGGAGACGAACAUGAGGCAGGUAAGAAAGAUUUCAUAGAAAUCCUUAAAGUGUUGGAGGGAGCACUUGGAGAGAAGCCUUAUUAUGGAGGAGAUAACUUUGGUUUUGGGGAUAUUGCUCUGAUUGGGUUCUACUGUUGGUUUCCUGCUUAUGAGAUUUAUGGUAACUUCAGCAUUGAGGCUGAGUGCCCAAAGCUUGUGGCUUGGGCCAAGAGGUGCAUGAAGAGGGACAGUGUGGCUAAAACUUUGCCUGACCAACAUAAGAUCCUUGAGUUUGCAAAAAUUCUUAGGGAAAAGCUUGGACUUGAAUAAACAUAUGGUUAUGCAAUUAUGCAUAUCAUAAUGUAUUGAAAAAGGCACUUCGUUGUGCCUUUUCUUGAGUUGUUGUUUCAAGAUUUGAAAUGUUUGUUUGGUCAUAGUGUAAGUUCUAUUCUACUUGUAAUAAAGGACAAGCUUGUGUCUUGUUGAAUGUUGGCUUUUGUUAUGAGAAGUAAUUACUUUUUUCAUGAGCAUCAUCUAACACAAUACUCUCCCGCUGUUGUGUAGACUGUAGUGUAGAGUAUGAUAUAGUGUUUAGUUAUGUUAAAUGAUUAAUAUUUAAUAUAUAUGGAGAG